GACGAACGCUGGCGGCGUGCUUAACACAUGCAAGUCGAACGGAAAGGCCCUGCUUUUGUGGGGUGCUCGAGUGGCGAACGGGUGAGUCACACGUGAGUAACCUGCCCUUGACUUUGGGAUAACUUCCGGAAACUGGGGCUAAUACCGGAUAGGAGCUCCUGCUGCAUGGUGGGGGUUGGAAAGUUUCGGCGGUUGGGGAUGGACUCGCGGCUUAUCAGCUUGUUGGUGGGGUAGUGGCUUACCAAGGCUUUGACGGGUAGCCGGCCUGAGAGGGUGACCGGCCACAUUGGGACUGAGAUACGGCCCAGACUCCUACGGGAGGCAGCAGGGGGGAAUAUUGCACAAUGGGCGGAAGCCUGAUGCAGCAACGCCGCGUGCGGGAUGACGGCCUUCGGGUUGUAAACCGCUUUCGCCUGUGACGAAGCGUGAGUGACGGUAAUGGGUAAAGAAGCACCGGCUAACUACGUG
rnacentral:rRNA from 1 species